UGGGACAGUGGGCGUAGGCAGCAAUGGGACAGAAAAUAAGGGAGCAGUCCUGGUACCUAGAGACAUGAGGAUGCCUAGUUUGUGCAUGAUGGUUACUCACAGGUAUGGAUGAUGUUCAGACUUUCAGGAAGGCUGGCUGGCAGGUGGUAGGCUGGCCCUAGACCCCUAGCAAGAUUCAGAGUUAGGUCUCCAGCCCUGGGGGUCUCGAGCAAAAAUGAGCUCUAACUCAUGAGGAGUUGGGGUCCUUUUGAGAAUCAUCUCUUUGGAACAAGGCAGAAAUCCACUGACCAGAAGCAGAACACAAGACUGGAGCUGGACCAGCAGCAGGUAUGACCCCUCAACUCAGCCCAGAGUUAGGACUGUCUCAAAGGCCCUAUUUGAAAUCAGGAUUGGGGUGUGAGGAGGAGAGAGGCGGAGGCAGCCUGAAACAGACCAAGCACAUCCUUAACGCGCCCAGUUUCGCUUCUGACUUGGGUGCCUAUUGCUUAACACACUUGACUCCUCGGAAAUGAAAUCAGAGCGCGACAGAAGAAGGACCCCACCUCUUCCUCACACACCAAGUCCUUCUAGGAGAGAGAGUGCUUUCAAGCAGCACACGGACUGCCUUUUGCUCUGCCUACAGACUCCGGCUACCUGUCAUGGCGGGGUUGGGUCUGAUCACAGGCUUCUGCUAAGAUGACAACAGCCACUCAGCCUGCGGCUGCAGACACUUCACUCUGCUCUCUUUGGCCUUCUCCAGUUUAGUCCUCCUGCGCGCCCUGGGCGGUGGAACCCUCAUGCAUUGUUGUGAAAUGGAACACGCGGGCCGUUGGUGCUUCUCUGUUCUGGAAGCACCUUUGGGUGUCCAGAGAAGACAUGAGGAUCUCUGUUUUGUGUCGGAGGAGAAGCAGGAGGAGGAGGUUGCUGAACGAAGCCAUCCCCGUCUUCUGGGGCCCCAAGAGCACACCCCUGAGCUGCGGCUGGCAUCACACACAUGCAUCAGAGCAUCGGGUCCACAUCCCUGUGACAGCGUGAAAUACAACUGCUGGGCUGCGCCUUGUCUCCUCCCUGCUUCAGGGCCUUUGAUUUCUUCUGGACUAGAGAGUGGGGAGGACACCCAAUUGCCACCGCCACUGGCUUCGUCUGGAGAGCAGGGACAGCUCCGAGUAAAAGCAGGGUUGGAGCUUUGCCUUAAAGCAGGAAAGACAGUCUCCAGGAAUGUUCCAGGCACCUCCUGGAGUUCCGAUCCUUUCCUGGGAAGCAGCAUGAGUUACCUAGGAGAGUGUCACUUACGAGUUGAAGGGUCUGAGUUCACAGCCUAGCACUGCCAUCCCUCAUGUCUGACCUGGGCAAAAAGCCUGGGCUUGGCUUUAGAAGAUCUGAAUUUAUUCUCCUGAUGUCAUUUUACCAGCUGAAUGACGUUGGAUACAUCAUCUAGGUGAUAUUUAAUAAUUGUCUGAAACCUCAGUUUUCUAGUCUGCAAAAUGGAAAUAAUAAUGCCUUUCUUUUUUCAGUCGUCAAGCCACAGCAAUUAGCUUUUUUCAUCCUAUGGUAUUACAGAAAUUGUUCUGGAAGAACUCAGUGACUGGCUCACGUCAAAUCCAAACGGUUCUGUUCAGUUCCCGCCUUACGUGGCCCCUCUGUGGUAUCCAACUGUAACGGUUAAUUUUGUGUAUCAAUUUGACUUGGCCAGGGGGUGCCCAGAUAUUUGGCUAAAUAUUAUUCUAGGUGUGUCUGUGAGGGCAAUUCUGGAUGAGAUUAACAUGUGAAUCAGUAGACCGAGUAAAGCAGAUUUUCCUCCCCACUGUGAGGGGACCUCAUCAAAUCCACUGAAGGGCUGACUAGAACAGAAGACUGAGCAGGAAAGAAUUCAGUCUCUCUGCCUUAUGGACUGUCUUCAAGCUGGGACAUGGGACUGGAAUUUACGCCAUCAGCUUUGUGGUUCUCAGGCCUUCAGACUGCAGAUCAAACUUCUUAGCUGCCAUAAUUGCAUAAGCCAAUUCCUCAUAAUAAAUAAGUAAAUAAAUAAAUCCUGUUGGUCCUAUGUCUCUGGAGAAUCUUGACCAGUACACCAAUCCUGUUUGGCACACUGUUCUUGUAAUGACUUCUCUUUUAGUUUCUGCAGCAUCUCU